UUUCCCACAGCAAAUGUGGAGGAGAUAUCAUGUUGAGUUGAUGGAGAUGAAAGAUCAAAACAGCCUGCACCUCUGGUCAUCUCAUGGAAUUGUUUACUUUGGAGAAUCUCUAGACCCACCGCAGACUUGAUUGUUAAGAAACAGAGCGAUGGCAUUCAACUGGAUGUCUCUACUGUGCCUUUCAGCUUAAAGCCACGUGAGGAUCCAGUGAGAAGUCUGGGGCCUGGAAGAGGGCCUUCACCUGACCAUGCUGACGCCUUGAUCUCAGACUUUCAGUCUCU